AACGAACUCUGGCGGCAGGCUUAACACAUGCAAGUCGAACGCCCCGCAAGGGGAGUGGCAGACGGGUGAGUAACGCGUGGGAACAUACCCUUUCCUGCGGAAUAGCUCUGGGAGACUGGAAUUAAUACCGCAUACGCCCUACGGGGGAAAGAUUUAUCGGGGAAGGAUUGGGCCGCGUUGGAUUAGCUAGUUGGUGGGGUAAAGGCCUACCAAGGCGACGAUCCAUAGCUGGUCUGAGAGGAUGAUCAGGCACAGUGGGACUGAGACAAGGCCAAAACGCCUACGGGAGGAAGCAGUGGAGAAUAUUGGACAAUGGGAGCAAGCCUGAUCCAGCCAUGCCGCGUGAGUGAUGAAGGCCUUAGGGUUGUAAAGCUCUUUCACCGAUGAAGAUAAUGACGGUAGUCGGAGAAGAAGCCCCGGCUAACUUCGUGCCAGCCGCCGCAGUAAAAC
rnacentral:rRNA from 1 species